rnacentral:rRNA from 1 species
UACGGGGGGGGCAAGCGUUGUUCGGAAUUACUGGGCGUAAAGGGCGCGUAGGCGGCCUGCUAAGUCACACGUGAAAUCCAUCGGCUCAACCGGGGAACUGCGUGUGAUACUGGCGGGCUUGAAUUCGGGAGAGGGAUGUGGAAUUCCAGGUGUAGCGGUGAAAUGCGUAGAUAUCUGGAGGAACACCGGUGGCGAAGGCGGCAUCCUGGACCGAGAUUGACGCUGAGGCGCGAAAGCUAGGGGAGCAAACGGG